rnacentral:rRNA from 1 species
CGUAGGGACCAAGCGUUGUUCGGAUUUACUGGGCGUAAAGGGCGCGUAGGCGGCGUGACAAGUCAAUUGUGAAAUCUCCGGGCUUAACUCGGAACGGUCAAUUGAUACUGUUGUGCUAGAGUACAGAAGGGGCAAUCGGAAUUCUUGGUGUAGCGGUGAAAUGCGUAGAUAUCAAGAGGAACACCUGAGGUGAAGACGGGUUGCUGGGCUGAUACUGACGCUGAGGCGCGAAAGCUAGGGUAGCAAACGGGAUUAGAUACCCCGGUAGUCCUAGCCCUAAACGAUGAAUACUUGGUGUCUGGAGUUUUAAUUCUCCGGGUGCCGUCGCUAACGUUUUUAGUAUUCCGCCUGGGGAGUACGCACGCAAGUGUG